CCUACGGGUGGCAGCAGUGGGGAAUAUUGGACAAUGGGCGAAAGCCUGAUCCAGCCAUGCCGCGUGUGUGAAGAAGGCCUUCGGGUUGUAAAGCACUUUCAGUGGGGGAGAAAGCCUUGGGGCUAAUACCCUCGAGGAAGGACAUCACCCACAGAAGAAGCACCGGCUAACUCCGUGCCAGCAGCCGCGGUAAUACGGAGGGUGCGAGCGUUAAUCGGAAUUACUGGGCGUAAAGCGCGCGUAGGCGGUCUGAUAAGCCGGUUGUGAAAGCCCCGGGCUCAACCUGGGAACGGCAUCCGGAACUGUCAGGCUAGAGUGCAGGAGAGGAAGGUAGAAUUCCCGGUGUAGCGGUGAAAUGCGUAGAGAUCGGGAGGAAUACCAGUGGCGAAGGCGGCCUUCUGGACUGACACUGACGCUGAGGUGCGAAAGCGUGGGUAGCAAACAGGAUUAGAUACCCCGGUAGUC
rnacentral:rRNA from 1 species